AUAGAUAAAGCCAAACUUAUCGAGAGAUAAGGACGGAAAGCUGCGGGUCUUUUUGAAGAUAGCCGGGUUGCCUGAA
rnacentral:ncRNA from 1 species